UUCCGCUGAAAAAAUGACAAU
rnacentral:piRNA from 1 species